rnacentral:rRNA from 1 species
AUACGGAGGAUGCAAGCGUUAUCCGGAUUUAUUGGGUUUAAAGGGUGCGUAGGCUGUGCGUUAAGUCAGGGGUGAAAUGCCGUCGCUCAACGACGGAGCUGCCCUUGAUACUGGCGUGCUGGAGUACGGAUGCCGUUGGAGGAAUGAGUGGUGUAGCGGUGAAAUGCUUAGAUAUCACUCAGAACACCGAUUGCGAAGGCAUCUGACGAAUCCGUCACUGACGCUGAGGCACGAAAGCGUGGGGAUAGAACAGGAUUAGAUACCCUGGUAUUCCACGCCGUAAACGAUGAUGACUAACCGUCGGCGAUAGACAGCCGGUGGCCAAGCGAAAGCGAUAAGUCAUCCACCUGGGGAGUACGUCGGCAACGAUGAAACUCAAAGGAAUUGACGGGG